rnacentral:piRNA from 1 species
UGGAGAAACUACUAUCCUCCAGCCUUGAUC